rnacentral:misc_RNA from 1 species
GGCCAUCAAAACUGCAUUUCCAACUUUCUUCUUAGACACAAGUUAUGCCAGUGCAUGUUGUGUAAACUUAGUGCAUGUUGUGUAAACUUUAACUUCUCAAUACAACAUUAAGGUGUCCAACCAACAAGGGCAAUAGCCUCAUCAACAAUGUAUGGGUCCAUUCCUCUUGGACUCUAUAUCAUUUCUCCAAAAAUGGGCCCAAGCCAAAUAACAUAUACUACAAUGCUCCUAUUUAUAGUAUUAAUCCCCUCAAUUUUAAUCUCAAUAGGAACUUACACAAUUAGAAAUAACACUAAAAUAUGAUUCCUACUCUACAUAGAAAAUAAUUCUCCAACUAAUUAAGGAAUAUUCCUCCCCCUUAAAACUACAAAAAGGUUUUCUUCAAAUCUCACAAGGAUUUUGAGUCAUACCCUAACAACUAUGUUGUUGCAUCUCCAUAUACUCCAAAGAGCAAAAAUCCCAUUAAUAGUAACAUAUCGUACUAUAAAACACUCACUCCAAAUAAAAUAAGUGCGUAGUUUUCCAACUUUCUGAAAUCAUUCAAGUUCUAUUUUCUUGUUUCAC